AGGACCCUAGUAAAUCAUUACAUAGCCCCGUCAGAGCUAAAUAAUAGGCUAUACCCCUAUGAGUCCUA
rnacentral:tRNA from 1 species